rnacentral:rRNA from 1 species
ACGGGAGGCAGCAGUGGGGAAUCUUGCACAAUGGGGGAAACCCUGAUGCAGCGACGCCGCGUGAGCGAUGAAGCCCUUCGGGGUGUAAAGCUCUUUCGACCCGGAAGAUAGUGACGGUACGGGGAGAAGAAGCUGCGGCUAACUACGUGCCAGCAGCCGCGGUAAUACGUAGGCAGCGAGCGUUGUUCGGAGUUACUGGGCGUAAAGCGUGCGUAGGCGGCGGCCCAAGUCUGGUGUGAAAUCUCCCGGCUUAACCGGGAGGGUGCGCUAGAAACUGGGUGGCUGGAGUACCGGAGAGGCAGGCGGAAUUCCUGGUGUAGCGGUGAAAUGCGUAGAUAUCAGGAGGAACACCCGUGGUGUAGACGGCCUGCUGGACGGUCACUGACGCUGAGGCACGAAAGCGUGGGGAGCAAACAGGAUUAGAUACCCUGGUA